ACUCAUUUUUCAAGACUAUUUGAAUUUUGCCUGUUUAACCAUUCCUCUCAUGAAGGCAUUUUCAGUUUUCAGUGUCACUGAUGCUUGCAUUCAAAAACUUGCCAGUCCUAGCACAUUUCCUUUGAAGGCAGGGAAUAAAGGCUGCUCAAAGUAUUCAAGCCCAUGGAAAUUCCUGUUCACUCAAUGCAGCUGAGGCAAGCCAAAGUGUUGGAUAGCUAUGAUUUAGAAGAUAUGAAAAUGUGUUAUUGGAAGAUUUCUUCCUAACCUCCUUUUUUUGUAAUGUCAACACAAAAAAAUGCUGACAUUCCUGACUAGCCUGCACGUGUGAGGAAAUCCAGAUUUGUGGUGUUCCUUUGUGAAAUAUUGUCCCUGCAAUCUCCUGGAAAAUUCAGAAUCUAAAAGGAUUUUUCUGAUGGGUAAACAUCAUUUACUAGUGUCUAUUUGCAUACUGCUCUUGGAGGAGCUGAACACUACUGUAUUCAGAAGAGGUGUGUUGACCUGCUGAAGCUGUUUGUCAGUGAGGAGGAUCACAGUGUGGUGAUAUUUGGGAAGAAGAAUAAGAGUAGAAGAACUUGUACCUAUGAAAAGCACUGUCACACUUCUCACCAGGAAAGAAGAAUUAAAAAAUAGCCUUUGGUUACUGAUGAGUGUAAGUGAAUUCUUCUCUCACUGCUAAAGCUAGGUAUAAUUGCCUUGAGAUUUGCUAGCUCUGUAAGUCAGCUUUUGGUUACUUCAGUACAAAAACUGAGAACAGUAAGACAUUCUAGCUAAGUGUUUUUUCCUCUUCUUUUUGCUUAGAUUUUAUGGGAUAUUUGUAUUAAAUACCUAUAAUGCCAUGUAAAAUGUCAAUAAAAUUGAAAAGAUG
ensembl:lncRNA